rfam:Aedes albopictus isolate Foshan contig96779, whole genome shotgun sequence.
UGUUCUGUGUUGUAGUUGGUUAACGCACUCUGUCUAGUGAACUGGGGAGUCGUGGGUUCAAAUCUCACCAGAACUA